GGCAGAAUAGCUCAGUUGGAUACAGAGCAUCUCACAUGAUAUGAGAAGGUCCUGGGUUUGACUCCUGGUUCAGCCA